rnacentral:rRNA from 1 species
UACGUAGGGUGCAAGCGUUAAUCGGAAUUACUGGGCGUAAAGCGUGCGCAGGCGGUUUUGUAAGUCUGUCGUGAAAUCCCCGGGCUCAACCUGGGAAUUGCGAUGGAGACUGCAAGGCUAGAAUCUGGCAGAGGGGGGUAGAAUUCACGUGUAGCAGUGAAAUGCGUAGAGAUGUGGAGGAACACCGAUGGCGAAGGCAGCCCCCUGGGUCAAGAUUGACGCUCAUGCACGAAAGCGUGGGGAGCAAACAGG